AGGGGGAGAGACCAAGUGGCUGUGUGGUGCUGAGUUGCCAGCUGGAUUUAAAACAUGACGCAGGGAAGAAGAAUAAAUUUGAAGUCUCUUGAGCACAGAUCUGGACUCAUCCUUUUUGCUCAUCCAGCACCAUCAGUACUGAGACUUCUGCAGCUUGAUCUGAUGAGGUGAUUCUCUGAUAGUGGUGGCACAGAAACCAGCUCACUCCUUCUUGUGGGUGACAGCACUCAGGAGGUGAACAAGAGAAAUGAGCUAAAAACUAUUGCCUUCAAACAAAGGUAACAACCUGACUUUUUGGUGUGGGUGAUUACUGACUAGACUCCUCAGAUAUACCCAGAGGAACCCUUCCUUUGCUACUUUAGGAAAGUACUCAGAUGAG